rnacentral:rRNA from 1 species
UACGGAGGGUGCAAGCGUUAUCCGGAUUCACUGGGUUUAAAGGGUGCGUAGGUGGAUUAGUAAGUCAGUGGUGAAAUCUCCGGGCUUAACCCGGAAACUGCCAUUGAUACUAUUAGUCUUGAAUACCGUGGAGGUCAGCGGAAUAUGUCAUGUAGCGGUGAAAUGCUUAGAUAUGACAUAGAACACCGAUAGCGAAGGCAGCUUGCUACACAAUUAUUGACACUGAGGCUCGAAAGCGUGGGGAUCAAACAGG